GACGAACCGUCCAAACGUUAUUCGGAAUCACUGGGCUUACAGAGUUCGUAGGCGGUCUGGAAAGUUGGGUGUGAAAUCCCUCGGCCUAACCGGGGAACUGCGCUUGAAACUACCAGACUCGAGGGAGAUAGAGGAAAGCGGAACUGAUGGUGGAGCGGUGAAAUGCGUUGAUAUCAUCAGGAACACCGGUGGCGAAGGCGGCUUUCUGGGUCUUACCUGACGCUGAGGAACGAAAGCCAGGGGAGCGAACGGG
rnacentral:rRNA from 1 species